UACGAAGGGGGCUAGCGUUGCUCGGAAUUACUGGGCGUAAAGGGCGCGUAGGCGGAUAGUUUAGUCAGAGGUGAAAGCCCAGGGCUCAACCUUGGAAUUGCCUUUGAUACUGGCUGUCUUGAGUUCGGGAGAGGUGAGUGGAAUGCCGAGUGUAGAGGUGAAAUUCGUAGAUAUUCGGCGGAACACCAGUGGCGAAGGCGACUCACUGGCCCGGUUCUGACGCUGAAGCGCGAAAGCGUGGGGAGCAAACGGG
rnacentral:rRNA from 1 species